rnacentral:tRNA from 1 species
GGGCCGGUAGCUCAGCACGGUUAACUGAGAGCGCGAGCAAAGCUCUUACAGGCCGAGGAGCACACGGCUGAUAACCGUGGGGUCGAGAACCAGCACGGGAACCGGUCGACAGAGUUCAAAUCUCUCCCGGCCCACCA